rnacentral:rRNA from 1 species
GCGAGUGGCGAACGGGUGAGUAAUGUAUCGGAACGUCCCUUUCAGUGGGGGAUAACGUAGCGAAAGUUACGCUAAUACCGCAUAUUCUGUGAGCAGGAAAGCAGGGGAUCGCAAGACCUUGCGCUGAUUGAGCGGCCGAUAUCAGAUUAGCUAGUUGGUGAGGUAAAGGCUCACCAAGGCGACGAUCUGUAGCGGGUCUGACAGGAUGAUCCGCCACACUGGAACUGAGACACGGUCCAGACUCCUACGGGAGGCAGCAGUGGGGAAUUUUGGACAAUGGGGGCAACCCUGAUCCAGCCAUGCCGCGUGAGUGAAGAAGGCCUUCGGGUUGUAAAGCUCUUUCGUCCGGGAAGAAAUCGCAUCAGCUAAUACCUGGUGGGAGACGGUA